CCUACGGGUGGCUGCAGUGGGGAAUAUUGCACAAUGGGCGCAAGCCUGAUGCAGCCAUGCCGCGUGUGUGAAGAAGGCCUUCGGGUUGUAAAGCGCUUUCAGCGGGGAGGAAGGCGGUGAGGUUAAUAACCUCAUCGAUUGACGUUACCCGCAGAAGAAGCACCGGCUAACUCCGUGCCAGCAGCCGCGGUAAUACGGAGGGUGCAAGCGUUAAUCGGAAUUACUGGGCGUAAAGCGCACGCAGGCGGUCUGUCAAGUCGGAUGUGAAAUCCCCGGGCUCAACCUGGGAACUGCAUUCGAAACUGGCAGGCUAGAGUCUUGUAGAGGGGGGUAGAAUUCCAGGUGUAGCGGUGAAAUGCGUAGAGAUCUGGAGGAAUACCGGUGGCGAAGGCGGCCCCCUGGACAAAGACUGACGCUCAGGUGCGAAAGCGUGGGGAGCAAACAGGAUUAGAUACCCGUGUAGUC
rnacentral:rRNA from 1 species